AGAGCUUAGCUGAUUGGUGAACAGUGAUUGAUUUCCUCUUUGUUCACAGUGGCUAAGUUCUGC
rnacentral:pre_miRNA from 8 species